GAUGAACGCUGGCGGCGUGCCAAAUACAUGCAAGUCGAGCGAACAGAUGAGGAGCUUGCUCCUCUGACGUUAGCGGCGGACGGGUGAGUAACACGUGGAUAACCUACCUAUAAGACUGGGAUAACUUCGGGAAACCGGAGCUAAUACCGGAUAAUAUUUUGAACCGCAUGGUUCAAUAGUGAAAGACGGUUUUGCUGUCACUUAUAGAUGGAUCCGCGCCGCAUUAGCUAGUUGGUAAGGUAACGGCUUACCAAGGCAACGAUGCGUAGCCGACCUGAGAGGGUGAUCGGCCACACUGGAACUGAGACACGGUCCAGACUCCUACGGGAGGCAGCAGUAGGGAAUCUUCCGCAAUGGGCGAAAGCCUGACGGAGCAACGCCGCGUGAGUGAUGAAGGUCUUCGGAUCGUAAAACUCUGUUAUUAGGGAAGAACAAAUGUGUAAGUAACUAUGCACAUCUUGACGGUACCUAAUCAGAAAGCCACGGCUAACUACGUG
rnacentral:rRNA from 1 species